AGUGAACGCUGGCGGUAGGCCUAACACAUGCAAGUCGAACGGCAGCACAGUAAGAGCUUGCUCUUACGGGUGGCGAGUGGCGGACGGGUGAGGAAUACAUCGGAAUCUACUUUUUCGUGGGGGAUAACGUAGGGAAACUUACGCUAAUACCGCAUACGCCCUACGGGUGAAAGCAGGGGAUCUUCGGACCUUGCGCGAUUGAAUGAGCCGCUGUCGGAUUAGCUAGUUGGCGGGGUAAAGGCCCACCAAGGCGACGAUCCGUAGCUGGUCAGAGAGGAUGGUCAGCCACAUGAGAACUUGGACACGGUCAAGGCUCCUGAGGGAGGGAGCAGAGGGGAAUAGUAGACAAUGGGCGCGAGCCUGAUCCAGCCAUACCGAGUGGGUGAAGGAGACCUUCGGGUUGUAAAGACCUUUUGUUGGGAGAGAAAAGCAGCAGGUUAAUACCCCGCUGUUCUGACGGUACCCAAAGAAUAAGCACCGGCUAACUUCGUG
rnacentral:rRNA from 1 species